rnacentral:lncRNA from 1 species
GCUCCCUCGGCUUUGCGCAGGGCUCUGCUCCCUGCUACUUUUUUUUUUUUGAGAAAAAAACCCCUGAUAUAUAUAUAUAUAUAUAUAUAUUAUAUAUAUAUAUAUAUAUAUAUAUCAGGGGUUUUAUAUAUAUAUAUAUAUAGCAUUGUCUUUGACAAUGUAUGGUAACUUGGCCAUUCUUCCCCUUGUCUUCAGAUGUCUACUAAGAAGCAUCGAGCCAUGGGGUCUGAGGAGUGGGUGAGCCGCCUGAGGGCAUUUGCCUCUUCUGGCACUUGGCCCUCCAGUGCAGGGAACAGGCCAUCUCCGAAACAGGCCAAGUGGCCCAACCUCUACCAGAAGAUUGAGUAGUGUCCCACGAUGCUGCGUGGGCAAACCUCUAUCUUAAGGGUAGCGCAGACAUGUACCUGUGGCUUUCACCCCCAGCAGCCCUGCAGCUACCUCUGCCUCCACCUCUGCUGCGCCUGCACGGAGCCCUGGGAGGCAUGCAUUGACGCUGGCGAUGGUGAAUAUUUCCAUCACAUUAAAUACCAUGUCAUUCACCUGGGUAGCCAUGAUCAACUCAUCUCAGAUCUGUGUGUUUACAUAACUUUCAUGCGUAUCACUGGUGUGUAUAAUGUUUUUAUUUUUAAGACUAUUUUAUUAAGACUAUUCUUGGUUGAUUUUCAGUUUGAGAAAUCGCGGUUCGGUGGGACUUUGUCUGCUGCAGCCAAGCCGAAUGUCAAUCUGACUAGGAGGCCUGUUGAGGUAAUUGAUGUACCUAUAGCUGUGCCUGAUGCCUUAGAACACAGCCAUACAGCCAACACUAUCCUUGUUUUGUAA